AAGGUGAUGAGACACGACGGAAGGGCAGUCCCAAAGAGUCACUCCUGCAGUUCCUUGUGUUGGUGCCAAGAUUUGUGGCAGAAUUUACUGGCACCAGUGCAGAGUCCCUUACCUUGCUCUGGUGGCACCACUGUGGAAGGGUGUGCUCACACCUGUCACCAAUCGCUCUUCACAGUUUCUUCAUUUCCUUGCAUCAGCUUUGUGCUAACAUUUAUUUUCUUCCUUAAAAGGAUUAGAUCAGAUAAUAGAUUCCUACCAUAUUUUUAGAUUUCUUCUGUAAUUUUAAAUCAAAAAGAAAUUAACAGGAUGAAAUUUUCGGAGAAUCAGUAGGGUGUAAAUGUUUAUUGCUAAAAAAAGUGUGAAAUUGUACAAUUCUAGUUUCUGACGAUGCAUUAACUCUCUGGGUUGGUUUUGUUUUUUUUUUUUUUUUUUUUUUAACUGGCCUUUUAAUAGCACAGAGAGAGUGUUGUCAAAACAAUUAUUUGUCUGGAGCUCCAAAAAUCACAGAUGUGAUUUACACUCUAUUGAAAAUCAGUGGGAUACAUUUAAAGUACUGUUGUGCUUUUUAAAAUCCCACAAAGGAUGAGGCUUCCAGGGGUGCCCAGAUACAAAUUGAGCUGCUUUGGACUAUAACAUCAUUUUGAGGUUCUGUCAUCACUGCCCCUGAACCAGAAAAUUCCUGGGAAGUCUCUGGAUACGUCCUGCUGCCUGGGCUAGACCUGCUGGGGCGAGCACAAGUGAUCUUCUAAGCAGGCUUUGUAAGAGUUUGGAGAAUGGCAGAUGAUGUGUGUUGGCAGUGUUUGACAACACAGAGGGACAGGAUCCAGCUACAAAGUGGAUUCCUCCACUAAGGAGUAGAAUAAAAUCCUUUCAUGACCCAGAUAUAAAACCAUAGCUUGCUGUGAGAAUCAGGAUCAGGGCUCUCAGAAAAUACUGGCAUGGCCUCCUCAGGUUUGGGGGGUUUUGGCUGCUUACUAGAAGCAAAGUUUGAAACAACAAGGAACAUUUCUACCAAGUUCCACUACUAGGAACACGUGAAAAAAUCAUGGCAAAAUGUUGUUCAGAAGUCUGGCUUCCUGCAAUCUUUUCAACUUUAUUCUAAUUUUUGACUGUGACAAGAUUUAGGUCUGUUUAAGCAUUGCAUUGCUCAGUAACCUUUUCAGGGCAAUGACAGAUAAUGCUAGAUACUCCU